rnacentral:lncRNA from 1 species
UCUUGGUUGUCGUUUUCCUCUUCUUCGUAAGCAUCUGCGAAAGUAAAUUUGUAAAUUGUUAAAUAGCUGAUCGUAUAGUUUGUAUUUGUUUAGCUAGCUCAAUGUAUGUGUCGUUGAGUUUUAGUUGAGUUGGUUGAUUUGGUAUAUAUUUGUUUUGAAUUUUAUUGGUAAAAUUAGACAAAAAGAGAGGUGAUCAUUAAUGAUUCGUCUUUUUUGGGAUUUUAGUUUUUGAUGUUUUGAUUGUUUGGGUUAUUGUGGUUUCUUUUAAGCUGUAAAAUAAAGAUUUGUGUAAAAUUAUAUUGAUAAGUAAGGGAGAUAAAUAGAUGACCACAAAUCUUGGGUAUGAAAUAUUUUUGAUUAUCGAUGUUAGCACAAUAUAGAGAGUAAUAUAAAGGGAAUUAUGUGUUGAUUGUUUCUUACGGAUCAAUGAGGUGACGGAUAACGACUCGAGUUGUUUCUUUGGUGAGGUCAGAGCCGUGGACAUAACAGAUUU